rnacentral:rRNA from 1 species
UGGCAAGUAGAACGCACAGUUUUAUACCCGUAGCUUGCUACACCAUAAACUGUGAGUUGCGAACGGGUGAGUAACGCGUAGGUAACCUGCCUGGUAGCGGGGGAUAACUAUUGGAAACGAUAGCUAAUACCGCAUAAUAUUGAUUAUUGCAUGAUAAUUGAUUGAAAGAUGCAACUGCAUCACUACCAGAUGGACCUGCGUUGUAUUAGCUAGUAGGUGAGGUAACGGCUCACCUAGGCGACGAUACAUAGCCGACCUGAGAGGGUGAUCGGCCACACUGGGACUGAGACACGGCCCAGACUCCUACGGGAGGCAGCAGUAGGGAAUCUUCGGCAAUGGACGAAAGUCUGACCGAGCAACGCCGCGUGAGUGAAGAAGGUUUUCGGAUCGUAAAGCUCUGUUGUAAGAGAAGAACGGGUGUGAGAGUGGAAAGUUCACACUGUGACGGUAUCUUACCAGAAAGGGACGGCUAACUACGUGCCAGCAGCCGCGGUAAUACGUAGGUCCCGAGCGUUGUCCGGAUUUAUUGGGCGUAAAGCGAGCGCAGGCGGUUAGAUAAGUCUGAAGUUUAAAAGGCUGUGGCUUAACCAUANUACGCUUUGGAAAACUGUUUAAACUUGAGUGC